rnacentral:rRNA from 1 species
GGGCCCGCACAAGCGGUGGAGCAUGUGGUUUAAUUCGAUGAUACGCGAGGAACCUUACCAGGGCUUAAAUGUAAGUUGCAUUAGUUAGAGAUAGCUAUUUCUUCGGACUACUUACAAGGUGCUGCAUGGUUGUCGUCAGCUCGUGCCGUGAGGUGUCAGGUUAAGUCCUAUAACGAGCGCAACCCCUGUCGUUAGUUGCCAGCAAGUUAAGUUGGGCACUCUAGCGAGACUGCCAGUGCAAACUGUGAGGAAGGUGGGGAUGACGUCAAAUCAUCACGGCCCUUACGUCCUGGGCUACACACGUGCUACAAUGGCCGGUACAGAGAGCAGCCACUUCGCAAGAAGGAGCGAAUCUAUAAAACCGGUCUCAGUUCGGAUCGCAGUCUGCAACUCGACUGCGUGAAGCUGGAAUC